UUUAAAGGCCCAUCUAUGAUAUCACUAUGAUGAAUUGUAACAUGUUUUCCUUGUCUCUUCCACAGCCUGAGAGAAUAGACCCAAGUGCCUCCAGACAAGGCUAUGAUGUCCGGUCAGACGUAUGGAGUUUGGGGAUAACACUGUACGAGCUGGCGACUGGGCGGUUUCCCUACCCAAAGUGGAACAGUGUGUUUGACCAGUUGACACAGGUGGUGAAGGAGAACCUCCACAGCUUACCAACUCAGAAGACAGGCAGUUCUCCCCCAAAUUCAUCAACUUUGUCAAUCUGUGCCUAACAAAGGAUGAGUCAAAAAGGCCAAAGUACAAAGAGCUUCUGAAACAUGCUUUCAUUCUGAUGUAUGAGGAGCGCUCAGUGGAUGUUGCCAGUUACGUCUGCAGAAUCCUGGAUCAGAUGCCUACUUCUCCCAGCUCCCCCAUGUACGUCGACUGACUGUAGAACAAGUAAUAACGGAAGCCUGGAACAACAACAACAAUGACCUAAAGAGUUGCUUCAUCCCAUACUGCAGUGUUAAACUAAGACAGGAAAUGUACAAACUAAAACACCACGUGUACUAAGACUGGUGAUCAGUCACGUCUGUAUGCUAUCAACAUUCUCACACUUUUCUCUAUCCUACACACACACUUACAUGUAAGUACAACUAGUAACUGAAUGAAUAUACCAUGGUCUUGGUUCACCUCGAUGUGAGACCUCAUCUCUAAUGUGGAUACAGUACAGUGAUUUAAAAUCUGGAAAUGUAUUUAUAGUGUUUAAUCACUUGUGGAAUAUAUGAUUUGGAGAUACUGGAAUCAUGCUCUUUGACUCUUCCCACCUCUUCCAUGUAUGUUACUUUAAGAAUUGUGGUUGGUAUCUUAAAUGAAACCUUGCUUCUUAUGGUGUAAAGCAAUUUAAAACGUAACAGCAUUGAUGGACAGGAUCAUGUGGCCUCCAUCCAAUGUUGUGAGGGUGCUGCCGUCACUGUGCAAUGGACUUUGUGCUGAUAUAUAAAUAAAGAGAGAAAUAAUUGUG